rnacentral:rRNA from 1 species
CAAUAGCGUAUAUUAAAGUUGUUGCAGUUAAAAAGCUCGUAGUUGGAUUUCUGGUCUGAGCGUCCGGUCCGCCGCUGUGCGGUGUGUACUUGGUUCGACUCGGGCCUUCCUUGCAGGGAAUGUGUCUGGUCUUAAUUGGUCGGGUUCUGGAACUGCAUCGUUUACUGUGAAAAAAUUUAGAGUAGUUUAAAGCAGGCAUUUGCUGUGAAUAUAUUAGCAUGGAAUAAUAAGAUAGGACCUUGGUACUAUUUUGUUGGUUUGCGCACCAAGGUAAUGAUUAAUAGGGACAGUUGGGGGUAUUCGUAUUCCAUUGUCAGAGGUGAAAUUCUUGGAUUUUUGGAAGACGAACUACUGCGAAAGCAUUUACCAAGGAUGUUUUCAUUAAUCAAGAACGAAAGUUAGGGGAUCGAAGACGAUCAGAUACCAU